rnacentral:misc_RNA from 1 species
GAUGAAGAACGUAGUGAAAUGCGAUACUUGGUGUGAAUUGCAGAAUCCCGUGAACCAUCGAGUCUUUGAACGCAAGUUGCGCCCGAAGCCAUUAGGCCGAGGGCACGCCUGCCUGGGCGUCACACGUCGUUGCCCCCCCAUCUACUCCUUCGGGAUUGCGGGGGGCGGAUGAUGGCCUCCCGUGCGCCUUGUCGCGCGGUUGGCAUAAAUGCCAAGUCCUCGGCGACGCACGCCACGACAAUCGGUGGUUGCGAAACCUCGGUUGCCCGUCGGGUGCGGUCGUCGCGCAUCGAGGGCUCGAAAAAAUUGUCGGGCUCCGGCUCGGCUUUCAACGCGACCCCAGGUCAGGCGGGGUUACCCGCUGAAUUUAAGCAUAUCAAUAAGCGGAGGA